GAUGAACGCUAGCGGCAGGCCUAAUACAUACAAGUCGAACGGUGUCUUCGGACAUAGUGGCGCACGGGUGCGUAACACGUAUGCAACCUACCUUACAUUGGGGGAUAGCCUUUCGAAAGGGAGAUUAAUACCGCAUAAGACAGUAGCUGGGCAUCCAGCAGCUGUUAAAGAUUUAUCGAUGUAAGCUGGGCAUGCGUCCAAUUAGCUAGUUGGUGAGGUAACGGCUCACCAAGGCAAUGAUUGGUAGGGGAACUGAGAGGUCAAUCCCCCACACUGGCACUGAGAUACGGGCCAGACCCCUACGGGAGGCAGCAGUAGGGAAUAUUGGGCAAUGGACGCAAGUCUGACCCAGCCAUGCCGCGUGCAGGAUGAAGGCGUUAUGCGUUGUAAACUGCUUUUAUACAGGAAGAAACGACUCUUGCGAGAGGCAUUGACGGUACUGUAUGAAUAAGCACCGGCUAACUCCGUGCCAGCCGCCGCAGUAAAAC
rnacentral:rRNA from 1 species